GAGUAUUGCUAACUGACUACAAUUUGACGUCUUUCGUUCGCCGCCUCUGACGCCGACGAAAGCCACCGCGGAAGAUCAACAAACGGAUGUCGCCGUCACAGUUUUCCUCACUGCCUAACGACAUAGCGUGGCAAGUCUUAGCCCGCGUGCCGAAAUGCAAAUACCCACUCCUCGCUUGCGUCUCCAAGAACUUCACUUGUCUUGUUCAGUUGCCGGAGAUUCACAAGAUUCGCUCUCUCCUCCGCAAAGAUUCCCUCUACAUCUCCUUCAGGAACAAAAACGAUCGCGCCCAGAACCCGCGUUGGUACACUCUGCGCAGAGCGGAGAACAAUCCGAGCGAGAACCAGUUCGUCGUCUCCGUCAACCCCGCGCUUCCUAACCAUUACCACCGCAUGCCCUCGAUCGUCGCUCACGGUCCGGAGAUUUUCUUUAUCUGCGGCCCGUUCUUUCAGUCGCCAAGCUUUUGGGUCUUUGAUUCUCGAACCGACGAGCUUCGACGAGGACCAACCAUGAACGCGAACCGAACGUACAAAAGCGUGGGAGUAGUCGGGCGCAAGCUAUACGUGGUCGGAGGAGUAAGAUCUAACGAGAAUGUCGCCGAGUCAUUUGACCUAGCGACGGAAACUUGGGAGCCAGCGCCGAUCCCUAAGGAAGAAAAGACGUGGCACGCGUCUGCCACGGUGUCAUUAGACAGGAAGGUGUGUGCGUUAAUGCUCGUUGGAGCCUACGCUGUUUGCUACGAUCCUUGGGAUGGUUCUUGCCAGAGUUUUGCUUUGCCUAAGGAUAAGUGGUGGAAAACGGGUGUUUGUGGGAUGGAGAAUGUGCUCUACGUUUAUUACGCUAGGUUCGGGCUGAUGUGGUAUGACACUGAGCUGAGGGUAUGGAGAGUGGUGAAUGGUUUGAGUGAUGUCAAAAAGGUUCGAUCCGUUGGGAUGGCGGAAUACUAUGGAAAGGUGGCGCUUUUGUGGAAAGAACAUGGUGGUUGUGGAAAGGAGAUCUGGUGUAGAAUGAUUGCUAUGGGUAAGUGUGAAGAAGUGGUCAAGGGGACUGCAGAAUCGGCUCAACUUCUGGGGAGUGUCCCUGAUGGCUACAGAAUGGAUCAUUGUCUAUCAGUUUCAGAUUAAAGAAGAUAGAUUGAGCUAAUUAUUUUGAUGUGUGGGCUAUGCUAUUCUGUUUACUAAUACUUUUGCCAUCGUUGUACAAAAGCAUGUGGUGCUUGCACAUGUGUUAUGUUGUUUCCAGUUUAAAACAGGCCGGGGAACCAGACAAUGAAUUCAUUUGAAUAUCAAUGAGUUUGUAUUUUCAGUUUGAUUGUUGUAUAGAUUCUCGGAUUCUCCUAGGUAUUUUCAGCAGUAGUAGCAUACGUGAGAUGAUUGGUGAUAAUAAUGAUUUUUUGUGCAGUCAAGACGUGUGGGUGAUGGCUAAAUAUACAGUUACUGUUCUUUGUAAGUUUGACCCUGCUCAAUGAACCUUCUCUUGGGAUUCAUUUUUUCAAUUUUUUAUUAUUAAUUUUUUUUUUUUUGAUUUUUCUAGACCAAUCGCGGGCCGCCACGACAUAUGGGAUCCGCGCUACAAUGAUGAACUUUAGAAGAGAGGGGUUCAGCCAAGAGAGCUUUAGGAGAGAGGAAUUCAUGUGAUUGAGUUAUUUUAUUAUUUUUUUUUUGAUUUCUGUGUAAACUUUCCCCAUAAAUGGGGGUGCUCUCAUAUUUAUUAUGGGCUUUGUCAUUAGGUGGGAAUUGUUGGAGCUCACAUGAUUAGGAUUUACAAGCAUUAAUUAGGGCUAGAAGUUUAUUAAAUGAAUAAAUUUUAUCCUUUCUGUGUUUUGUAUGGAAGCCAAGGUUAUUGACUUCUAUUAUCUGCAAAGACAAUUUGACAAACUUAUACUUUAACCAUGGGGUGUUCUGUGGUGCUCCUAAUGUCUGCAUAGAAAUAAAAUGGAAGGGAUUCUAAGAUGUCUAAAUCUAAGUAAUACGAAGAUCUGUUAUACAAUUAGUGAUUGUGAUAUAUUACAAAGGUUGAGUACAAAUUUUUUUCUCCGUAAGAUAUGUAAAACAAAGUUUAACCUAAAAAUUGCUGAAAACUCAAAAUUACGUCACUACGUAAUUAAACCAAAAAUAUGGAAAAAAAUGUUCUUUUUUCUUUUAUUGAAAUGACAGACAUAUCAGAUUUCAGUAUAACACAUAUAACUUUUAAUUAGACCGUUGAAUUGAUCUCAAAGAAAUUGCACUUGAAAGUUACUCAAUUUUCUUGUGAAGCUCUAUCCACCUUUUCCUUAUGUUAAACUUUUGACAUAUUUGCACAAUUUUGCAUCUUUGAUUGUUAGUUUGCUGUCAAUUCAAUUCCUUUUGUUUCAAAUUGACCUAAAAUUGAUAAAGGACUAAAAUAUUUUAUAAGGCGCAGACUUGAUAAAAAUUCAAAACAAAGGUUAGAAACCGGUAAAACAUAUUAGUUUGUCAAUUCUUUUAGAAUUAGACUUUUAUAUGUCCUUAAACAAACAUCGAAUCAAGAAUAAGAAAGAGGUUUCAAAAAUAGGAACUCGCAUAUCAUUCAGAACACCAGUUUUACCAUUGACAAUUGUAAGUAUAUGAUAAUAUUAAAUUUUACAAGAUACAUUAAUUGGUUAAUUAAUUUAACACAAAUUAUAUCAUUCAUAUAAAUUUCAUAUACUUAUUAUAUAUAUAUUGUUAGAACUUAGUUAAACUAUAUAUAAUCAUAUUGAAGUAUAAGGUUGUUUGUUAAUUAUAUUAUAAUAGAAAAAAAUAGAUUCAUGUAUGAUAAUAGUCAAGUGAUUUGGCUAUUCUAUAAUACUUAACAAAUAAAUUUGAAAUGCGUAAUAGGCUAUAUUUAAUAUGCUAAUAUUUAUGUUGUAUUUAAAUAAAUUUAUUUUUCGAAUCACAAGUACAAUUAACAUAGUUGUUUUAGGUUAUAUUUUCUAGGUUAUAUUUUACAUUUGCUAGAAUUGAAUCUAUAUACAUCACAUUUUCUUACCAAUCAAAUUAUAAUUUUUUUAAAAGAGUACCCACAUAAACUCUCUCACAAAUAAGCGUAUGUUGCUCCGGCGUCCGGCCAGCGCGUGCGCGUGCACGCUACCGUCGGCGCCGGAGGCUUCCUUUCUCCCUCAUCUUUGUUUUACUUUUGUUUCACCAUCAUUCUCUCACUUUCCCGACUGUUAGACGUAGGUCCUGGUUUGAGAUUCUUCAUUCGGGCGCGACUUCCAUGCACAAGGGAAUCAAUCUGGUGUCGGUUUGUUCUUUCUGGUUCCGAAGCGAGGUCGGUGGAUAAGGGUGGUCGGAGCCGGCGUUUUAGGGUUAAAGGAGUAGAUCUUGUUUUCAAUCUUAGAUAUGCUCUAUGUUUUGUCGCUUUUUGCGGUCGGUUGCAGGUUCGGCUUCUCCUCAGAGUCUCUGGUCUCUGGUCUUGGUGGAGUCGUUCGGCUUCGGCGGUGGUCUUUGGUUUGCUUUGCGGCGUUGUGCAGUGAACGGAGUCCAGUCUCUGCUGUCAGGUGAGCUCCGGUGCUUUCCUCUAACACGGAGACGAUUCAUGGGUCAGGUUAUGCAGGCGGAGUUGGUAACUUGGCUUAGUGGUAUGGCUCGUGUGGGUUCGUGAGUUUAUCUAAGGGUUGUCGUCUAUGGCUACUCCACGUCUGCUCGCUGCACACAUCACCUUGAAUCUCCAUGAUUUGUCUCUCUCCAGAAUCUCUGGGAUCGAGGACGGUCUGGUUCUCGGAGGUGUCUCUUGGUUCGUCAUGUUUGCUCCUCUCCAUUGUGGGAGAUUAGCUUCUCUAGUCUCAAGCUACUGUUGUAUGGUUCUCGUGUGGCGACAAGCGUUGUGAGGUUGAGGAACUGUCGUUAGUCUCGGUGUCAGUGCUUGGCUAUAUCACCCAUCCCAGUGCCUAAGCUGCUCAUUUGAUCAUCUUGGAUAGGGUGAUUAACUACUUUUGUGCAGGUUCAGAGACUGUUUGUUCAGAGUUCAGUGGCAAUCUCUACCCGGUUUUUCGCCGUUUGGCGUUUGGGGGUGAUGUACUUCGUGCUCUCUUCUCGUCUCCAGUCUAAUAAAUGCUCAGUUUAGUUGAUGCGGGUGUGCUUGGCCGCUAUGGUUUUGUGUGAAGGUGCUAUGAAGCCCUUGGCAACCUAUUCUCAGAUGGACCAUUAUCUUUAAGAGUGGAUUCAUCGGGAAAACCAAAAUUACCGGAUUCUAGCUCUCGAUCGAACUUAGCUAAUAUUUUUGCGGCAAACAGAUGGUGUGGAAUUGGUCGAGCUUUUCGAUAGCGGUUCUGGUUUUUGUGUCAACCUCUGUUAAAGCUAGUUUGAGUUUGUGUUUUGUUUUAAAUUUUGUUUCUCUGAUUCUUGUUAUACUUUGUAGUUCUGUCAAAAACUAAAACUUGAUAAUAAUAUCUUAACAUUUUUACAAAAAAAAAAAUUAAAUACUUUUUAACUAAUCAUAUUCUUAAUUAAUAGAAUGACUGUACCGAUGUCAUUAUUUAAUAAGCUCUGAGUAGCGACGAAAUCUAAUCUCUACCAAAUUAAACUAAUUAAUAGAUAUUUUUAUCUAGCAUAUUUAUGUGACACCCGUCACUUCUUAUCUGGAGAGCAGCGUGCCACCAACAAUAUCACGUAUAAUAAAAGCCCAUAUACCCAAUUACACUCACCCAAAGCCCAAAUAAAAAAAAUCCGAAUAAAAAGCCCAGUAGCACCAAUUCCGUCCAAAUAUCAUAUACUCGUCUGUCUCACCUGAAAUGGGGAAGAAAGAGGGAUGAAUAACAGGGGAGUCACUCAGUGAGGUAUGGGAUGCUAUCCCGAAGUCCGUAGACCCGGACAUAGCACUCUGAAUAAAUAUAAUUUACCCUAAUACAUGUCAAACACGGUACCUAAAGCAUCCAAGAAACAAACAAUGGUCCUAGCGACCUGCCCACUGAUAGGCCAAAAAUACCCCCGAAAAAAUGCUCGGUCACACAGGCCCGUAGACGAUUUAUCGACCUACAGGCUACGAUCAACAGGUCGACUAUAGCUGACCGUAACCUCUAUACAAUCCGGGCUACAGAUAAACACCUCUCUGUACCCGGCACCCGACAUACAGAUAAAGACCUCUCUGUAUCCGGCACAAACACAUCAAAAUAUAUAUACUAUAUAUACAUGAAUAUAUCAAAUUAAUUCACACAAGCUACGUUGAAUCAUCUGAUUUCUUAUUUCCGAUUUAAGCAAAGAACCUAAAAACUAAACAAGCAAUGACAGACUCGAUUUCAGACAGACGCAACAUAUUAGAAAUAAAUUAUACUUAUUCAAGGUCCUAAGCCAUAUAUGAAAAGUUCGGGAAUAGACCCUCACCUUAGCCAAAAUUGGAGAUGAAUCACAAAAAUGAUCCAAGAUCUCGUCCAACAAGACUCAGUCCAACUUUAGAAUUAAUUACUUGAGAUACAAGUAACACUAAAGUUGCAUGAUUGCAUCCUGCGCGCAUGUGCAUGAAUAAGGUUUACGUUAUAUAUUUUUCUUGCAACACAAGGACCAAUAACAAUGGUACUUAACCUCACGGCUUAAGCUUCUCGGACUCCGUCGACGGAAGCUGUGACUCAGGUGGCUCACGGUUCAUAAUGGUGUUGAUCGGUGUUGGUAGUGUCGAGACGCUGACGGAUCUGGUUUCACUCUCUUUCUUAGUCUCCGCCUGUUCACGUUAUUGAACAAAAGCAUGGUAAUAUCGAUGGAUCUAUUGCAACAAGAUUAUGACAGUGGCAUGACGACGGCUCCGGUGUUGAUAGUGAAGAUGAUGACUCCGGUGGUGGGACACGGCUUGAUAAUGGUGGCUGGAUCAAACUCCGGUGAUCACGGCAACGGUCCCGAUGGUGCUGGCACGGUGAUGCGACAAUGCAAGCUGACACUCCGGUGAUGAACCGAUCACAUCCUUAGAGAUUGGCGCUGGUGGUGAUAAAACGUGACGGCUCUCUCUCUAACCCACGAUGCGUUUUUUUAUUUGGUUUGAGAAGGAGAUAUAUACACAUGCAUAUAUAGCACGGUUUAAGAAAUGGUCUGGUACAAUUAAUUAACAAAUGAAUCACACCGGUUUGGGUGAACCGGGUCGUUACAAUUCUUCCCCACUUAAUUGGAAUUCGUCCUCGAAUUCAAGUCUCUAUACUCGUCUACUAGUUUUAUUUUCCAAAAUAAAAUUUCAAUAUUCAAUCCUCAUCUUAGACUCGGUCUCUCAAGUUUCCUCUUGGAUCUUAUCUCUUUCUUAUUGAACUUUGAUCAAUAUGGUCAUCAUUUCUGAACUGCUUCCACUUGUUGAUUUGUAAUCUCCACAGACUCGAUGAGUGUAGACAAUUUUUUUUUUUUUAAAGAUCACUUGGUGGCUGCUGUAAAAUAAGUUUUGGCCCUCGCACAACCUUCCUCAAUACUGACACAUGGAACUCAUCGUGAAAGUUUGACAACUCUGCUGAUAACUGCAAUCUAUAAGCCACAACUCCAAUCUGCUCCACAAUAAGGUACAGUCUCAUAUAUCUUGGCUUAAGCUUCCUUAGCUCUCGAGUCUUAGAUCCUCUCUGAAAUGUCUUCAUUUUCAGGUACACUAAAUUAUCCAAUUAAACUUCCAAGUCUCUCGAGCAUUAACUGCAUUUUUUUUUGUUUUUUUAGCCAUCAACUUCCUUAAGGUGGUUAUUGAGCAUUGUCUAUUUGCUUCAACGUCCAUUAAACCAUUGGUUGCUAUACGUCCUAGUGCUUCCCCGGGUCUAGCAUGUGUGUGAAUGAUCUUCCAUAAAAAGCCUCCGAAAGUGAUAUAUGAAUGCUCCAGUGAUAAUUGUUGUUGUACAUGAACUAUUCCAGCGGUAGAUGUUUUUCUCAAUUUUUUUUCUCCGUGAGCUAAGGACAAAACCCAAGGAUGCCCUUUCGAGUUUAACUUAGCGAGACGGUCCAUGAUCGAUCAUACAUUAUUCUUCAUGAAACUUGACUUCCAUAGUCCAAUGAGGAAACCAACAAUCAACAUAUCUCAUUUCCAAUCUGGAAGAAGUAGAUGGUGUAGUAAUCCCAUAAAUAAUUGAUGUUCUGCUUUAACCAUCUAACAAGUCUGACAUAGACACAAUGUAGUUACAUCUUCCUAUUUUUUUUUCUGCCAGAAACUACACUUACUCAGCUAGCAACAACUGAUGCUUUCCAAGCUUACCUAACACAAUCUGUAAAUGCUCAGCAUGCUCUUCUCUGCUCCGAGAAUGAAUCAGGAUGUAGUCGAUGAAUACAAUUGCGCACUUAUCUAAGUGUUCUCAAAAACGUCACUCAUAAGCUUCACGAAUGCUAACGGUGCAUUCGUCAAGCUAAUGGGUAACAUUAUAACUCAUAAUAUCCAUAACAUAUACAAAAAUCCACAUCGGUAGAUACUCCUCAGGUAUAACAAUCUGAUGGUAUUCUGAUGCAAGUCAACCUUCAAGAACUAUGUACCUCCUGUAGGUAAUCCAACAACUCAUCAAUACGCGGAAACAAUACUUAUCCUUUGGUCACUUUGUUCAGACCUCUGUAGUCGAUACAAAUUCUGAAACUCUCAUAUUUCUUCUUCACAAAUAAUAAUGAUGCUCCUCACGAUGAAGUACUUGGUCUUGUAAAACCCUUGUUUGAUGAAUCUUUCAUAUGCUCUUUCCACUCGGUCAUCUCUGCUGGCGCUAAUUGGUAUAGAAAAUCGUGAAACCGGUGUCGUCCUUGACUCCAACUCGAUCGCAAGAACGUCUCCUCUAGCUGGCAGUGAUCCUUUUAAAGCCUCAAAUACAUCCUCAUACUUUGUAAUAUAUGAAAAUCCUGCAGCUCAUGAUGUCCAUCAUCCUUAACCAUCAAAAUGUUCGCCAAAAAUCCAUUUACUCCUAUAUCCAAUAACUCCUCAGCAUGUAGCAUGUUGAUAAUACAACCUCUCAUCGGAUCCAUGAAUAAGAACUCUUUCCACUCAGGCAAAUCAACACUACCUGAUGUCAUGACAUCCAAUCCUUCUCAAGAAUGACAUCACAUAAACUCAGCUCCAUCUCUGAUGAAUCUCCGAAUAACUCGACUCCUCCAUGCAUAAAUGGUACAACUCGUACAUCAAUAGCUCUCAAUGUCCUAUGUUAGCUGUCCGAACUGACACACCUCUGAAACGGUCAACAAUGCCAAAAACUGGCAAGCAAAGCCAAGUGUAACUCCAAUAUCAACAUAACGCAAGCCGCUGCACCCUAAUUCAAAAGCGAUCUCCACGAGUUCACAAACCAAAUAUACCUCCAAUAUAGUCAAUAAACUUGUAUACACAACAACACAUGCCAACCAAUGGCUCAUACGUCACACCAUGUAAUCUCCAGUAACAAAAACUCGUGGCAAGAUUGCUUGAAGUAGGGUGGAAGCAGAAACGUCACAUAUCCACUCCUGGAUAAUCUCGGAAUCAUGACCGAAGAAACUGAUAACUUCUGAGAAAACUGACGAACUGAGGCAUCACCCAUCUGCUGUUGAACAUCUGGCUAGAACCCUGUUAGUCGAAAGAUGAAUGACGAUGACUUUACUCAUCGUCAUCGAAAGAGACAAUUGAGUUAGUAAUUACUGGACAAAAUGGUGCUAAAAGAACUUCGCAAACAUUUUUUUUUUAUUAUAUAUAUAUAUAAAUUAUUUUUAUACUUUUUUUUAAACGUAGAAAAACUGAAUCCCCUAAUCGUCAUCCCGGGACGGAACCCCGCUCUGAUACCAAAUUGUGACACCCGUCACCUCCUAUCUGGAGAACAGCGUGCCACCAACAAUAUCACGUAUAAUAAAAGCCCAUAUACCCAAUUACACUCACCCAAAGCCCAAAUAAAAAAUCCGAAUAAAAAGCCUAGUAGCACCAGUUCCGUCCAAAUAUCAUAUACUCGUCUGUCUCACCUGAAAUGGGGAAGAAAGAGGGGUGAAUAACAGGGGAGUCACUCAGUGAGGUAUGGGAUGCUAUCCCGAAGUCCGUAGACCCGGACAUAGCACUCUGAAUAAAUAUAUUUUAUCCUAAUACAUGCCAAACACGGUACCUAAAGCACCCAAGAAACAAACAAUGGUCCUAGCGACCUGCCCACUAACAGGCCAAAAAUACCCUCGAAAAAGUGCUCGGUCACACACGCCCGUAGACGAUUUAUCGACCUACAGGCUACGAUCAACAGGUCGACUAUAGCUGACCGUAACCUCUAUACAAUCCGGGCUACAGAUAAACACCUCUCUGUACCCGGCACCCGACAUACAGAUAAAGACCUCUCUGUAUCCGGCACAAACACAUCAAAAUAUAUAUACUAUAUAUAUACAUGAAUAUAUCAAAUUAAUUCACACAAGCAACGUUCAAUCAUCUGAUUUUUUAUUUCCGGUUUAAGCAAAGAACCUAAAAACUAAACAAGCAAUGACAGACUCGAUUUCAGAUAGACGAAACAUAUUAGAAAUAAAUUAUACUUAUUCAAAGUCCUAAGCCGUGUACGAGAAGUUCGGGAAUAGACCCUCACCUUAGCCAAAAUUGGAGAUGAAUCACAAAAAUGAUCCAAGAUCUCGUCCAACAAGACUCAGUCCAACUUUAGAAUUAAUUACUUGAAAUACAAGUAUCGCUAAAGUUGCAUGAUUGCAUCCUGCGCGCAUGUGCAUGAAUAAGGUUUACGUUAUAUAUUUUUCUUGCAACACAAGGACCAAUAACAAUGGUACUUAACCUCACGGCUUAAGCUUCUCGGACUCCGUCGACGGAAGCUGUGACUCAGGUGGCUCACGGUUCAUAAUGGUGUUGAUCGGUGUUGGUAGUGUCGAGACGCUGACGGAUCUGGUUUCAUUCUCUUUCUUAGUCUCCGCCUGUUCACGUUAUUGAACAAAAGCAUGGUAAUAUCGAUGGAUCUAUUGCAACAAGAUUAUGACAGUGGCAUGACGACGGCUCCGGUGUUGAUAGUGAAGAUGAUGACUCCGGUGGUGGGACACGGCUUGAUAAUGGUGGCUGGAUCAAACUGUAACACCCCAAAACCCAAACCCAAAAAGUUUUUGUGUUUUAAAAGGGAAGGCCCGUUCUGCAGCCCAUUAGGAUUAAAACCCUAGGGUUCCCUUGCCUUUCCCUAUAAAUACAAGCCUCCACCUCCCUUGUCUCUCAUCAGAAAUUCUAGAGCGAAGCUCUGCAGAAAAAUCCCGGAGACAGGAAGCCCUAGCCGUCGAAGAUCUCUCUCUCUCUCUCCCCGCGCUGCCUCUCCUUCUUUUCUCUCUCCUCACCGCAUCUCUCUUCUCUCUCUCUCUCUCCUCGCCGUGAGCAGCCGCGAAUGGUGGUGGUGGCCGCGUGGUGUUGUAGAUCUCAGAUCCCGUUUCUCACACCUCUUAUUUUUAGAUCCAGAUCCGGAUCUAGGCUAAGAACUAUAAGUGGAAAUGUCGACGGUAAGAAAGGAAACGCACCUGAAACUUAUGGGACCAGAAACGGGACACACGGAGAUGUCGGGAAAAGUAGACAUGUGUGUCCUAAACCCCGCGCCCUGGAACCCCGGUUGGAAAUGGGGAGGGACGGGUGUUUCAAUUGGUAUCAGAGCCAGGUUAAGGUCCCUUAAUACUAACUUAAGGGAUCAACGUUUCCGAUAUUGCCCAUUUCCCUUAUGGUUCUGAUAGACCGUCAUAGCUAAUGCUGAAGGAGUAUACGAACAACUCAGAGUCUCCGGCCAAGAUCAGAUCAACAAAAAGUCCUCGUACCGCGGUGUAGUGGAGUUUCAGAGGUUCAGGAAUGGGUAACAAGGAGUGGUAAGGCAAGUAUACAGAGGGAUUAAUUGCCUAGCACGACAAGUUAAGGGGGAAUGGAAAGUCGGACAUACGAGCUGGAGGGAAACGUUUUGUCGGCGACACUACCCCACACCGGGCCGGGAAGGCCGGGGAAGGAGAGUCGGACGCAGGGCGGAGGCAAGCGCAGCUUCACGGAGGAGAUAUCCCGGCAAAGAAAUAGCAUAAUGUCAUUCAGAUAUCAAAGUGAAGCUUGUUCCCAAUAUAAAAAAAAAAAAAAGAGCAUGGGCGCGGGCCCUACCACCUUGGAGUGGGCCCGCCUAAGAGGAAGGAGCAAAACCGGGGCGGCCAAGGGACGAUCGGAUGGGCAGAAGAAGGGGAACCGAUUUCAGAUUGUGAUAAUUAAGCUAAGGAUCAUCUUGGGGUAAAAAAAGAUGAUGGAGGGUCAUUUUGGAGCAAAUGCGAAAUGCUAAUAAGGAUAUGGGAUCUUCAUAGGGUAAAAAGGUUCAUGGUAAUAAGGAUCAUUGUGGGGUAAAAAGAUCGUCUUGGAGUAAAAAGGAUGAUGGAGUAUCACCAUGUAGCAAAAAUGUUGAUGCUAACAAGGACGAGGAGGGAAUGAAGUUCGUGGAGCAGCCGAACGUCCACAUCGGGAGACAUCCGUGAGGCGUCAAGUGCUGAUGCCCCAGUUCCAGAGAUCCAAGAGUGUAGGCGAAUGUACCAAGGCCAUGUGAUCUUCCAGUUCACGCCUGAAGUCGAAAUGACGCUGCCCAAGAUGGGCUAUGGGCACCCAAGGAAGUCAGGAUUGAUCGGGAAGGUCUUGGACCGUUUAGGAUGGAAGACAGUGUGCCAACGAGGAAACGUGGACGUCCGAGGAAGAUUCCUAGUAUUGAUGCAGACCGCCUAAGGAGCGUAACUGGGGUAUGUCGGUGUGGGACACUGAUGCAUGCUAAUCAAGGAACGCACUCAGUUCGGGAGUACACCGAGGAAUUCUUGGAGACAACUAAAAGAUGCAAGCCAAAGUCAGCGGAGGGUUGGUGCCAGGGGAUUAAGGCAGAGCUCCGCGAGGAAAUUCAGGGCAAGUUGCUUGGUGUGUUAGAACCAUGGGAAUGCGUUCUGAUGAACUAGAUAGCCGGUCAGGCAGUGGAGGUAGAAAGGGCACUUACCGUUGGGUCGUCGCCAUCUCAAGCUCUAAGGAAGAAAUGGAAGUGGAAGAGGAUCUGCGGAAGAGAUCGAUUAUGGAUGAAAGAACCUCGGGAGAAUGUACCGAGCCGUGCAAGUGUGAGAUCCUUGUUCAGAUAAUGCAUAGGCCUCGCCUGGUCCAAGAGUACACUAAGGAGUUCUUAGACAUGACCGAGAAAUGCAAGUCGAAGCCUGCGGAGAGGUAGUGCCGGGUUAUAAGGCGAGACUCCGUAGGAACAUUCGAGGAGAGCUGAAUGGAGCCAUGGAAUCUAUGGAAUUUGCCUUAGUGGUGAGGAUGACAGGGAAGGCGAUGGCAGCAAAGGCGUGGUUGUUAAACAUGUUAUUUAUGUCACAAGCGCUGAACCGAAAGAGGAUCCAUCGGAAGGUUAAAAUUAGGAGGAUUAUCUGGAACCGCCAGCUAGAGGUGUCCGAGUGUUUGGUUAUGAUUCGAGGCAGAAACGCACUUCUCCACUUUGUAGAGACUAAAUAAGAUUUCGGAAACAUCCAGUAUGAGUAGGAAUUAUGUUAUUCCUUAUUUAUCUGGGAGAUUUCGAAAGAAAAUCCUUAAGAAAAUAUUGUGUGCCUCCCUUGAAUGUGUUUGAACUCACCUCGGGUUUUGGAAUGUUAGUGUUCAAAGCCGGAAGAUUGGAAUUCGGGGCGAAUUCUGAUUAACAGGGGGAGAAUUGUAACACCCCAAAACCCAAACCCAAAAAGUUUUUGUGUUUUAAAAGGGAAGGCCCGUUCUGCAGCCCAUUAGGAUUAAAACCCUAGGGUUCCCUUGCCUUUCCCUAUAAAUACAAGCCUCCACCUCCCUUGUCUCUCAUCAGAAAUUCUAGAGCGAAGCUCUGCAGAAAAAUCCCGGAGACAGGAAGCCCUAGCCGUCGAAGAUCUCUCUCUCUCUCUCCCCGCGCUGCCUCUCCUUCUUUUCUCUCUCCUCACCGCAUCUCUCUUCUCUCUCUCUCUCUCCUCGCCGUGAGCAGCCGCGAAUGGUGGUGGUGGCCGCGUGGUGUUGUAGAUCUCAGAUCCCGUUUCUCACACCUCUUAUUUUUAGAUCCAGAUCCGGAUCUAGGCUAAGGUGAGGUGUUCUACCCAGAUCUCUUUCAUGUUCUUUUAUAUUGUUGAAUGUGGAUCUAGGAUUGAGUAGAUCCUGGUUGUUGUUAGGUUGAUAGACCAUGUUGCAUUAGAACUCUCGUACUGAUUUAAGAUUCUAAAUAAACUGAUUGAUUGUUUGAUUGAUUGAAGAUCCGUGGUUGUGAUUGAGAGCUAGGAUGGUUAGAAAGAAAUGAACGUAGGAUAAUAAGAGAACUGUUAACCGGUCUGGUUAGAUGAAUGAUAGGAUACCUAUGAAUGAUUGCUGAAUGGAUUGAGUGUGACACCGAGAACGGGUGGCGUCUAAAAAAAAAAAGUAAGAAAGAGUCUAAGGGUUUAAGGAAAAAGGAAAUGAUAAGAAAAAGGAAAAG